GGCCCACUCACUGAACUAACUCCCUUCCCUCUACUCCCAGAGCCCGCCCGGCAGGACCACCGAGCAAGGCCUUGGAAAACCAGAGAGAUUAGAGCGGUGAGUCGCGCCGGUCACGUUGGACGCCUGCGCGUUAGGAGAUUCUGGAGCCAGAACAGCGGAAUUGCCUUCGCCCGCCCUGCCCCUCGCCUGCUUCAGAAGCUUCCAGGAACUCCCGGGUCGGCGACCCAGCCCGAGCCGCCUGGGGCCCCAAGGGAAGCUGAACGCCCUGUGGGCUCCUGGGAUGGUUCUUCCCGUUCUUUGCGCCGCCUUCACCCAUUGAAGAGCCUGUGCCCACCCUGCCCAGUCGCUCUCGGGGCCGCGGAGGAGCUUCCGCUGCCAUCUUCGGAUCCUGUGUUCCGCACGGGGGCUCCACCAGGGCAGGGAUGGUGCAGAAUGGGGAAAUGGAGAGAGAACCUGAAAGAGCCCCAAACUCGAGGACCUAUUGCUCCCCAAGAAUAACAUCUUCCAGAAGAACUAGACAGAAAACUAGGCGUCUGGGAACUCUGAAAUCCUUGGAGGAGUAGCAUCAUCAUGACCCUCUGUGUUCCUUUUGGCAAAGGACUUGCUCCCAUUGUUUGCUUGUUCCAUUGUCUGUCUGUUAAAUAAAUAAAACCCU
rnacentral:lncRNA from 1 species